GAUAUUAAACUGAUAAGAACAGAUA
rnacentral:ncRNA from 2 species